GUGGGGAAUCUUGCGCAAUGGACGAAAGUCUGACGCAGCGACGCCGCGUGGGUGACGAAGGCCUUCGGGUUGUAAAGCCCUGUGGGCGGGAACGAACCGGUGAGGGGUGAAUAUCCCUUUGCCCUGACGGUACCCGUUUAGCAAGCAUCGGCUAACUCUGUGCCAGCAGCCGCGGUAAGACAGAGGAUGCGAACGUUGCUCGGAAUUACUGGGCGUAAAGCGCGCGCAGGCGGUCUUGUAAGUCUGAUGUGAAAGCCCGGGGCUCAACCUCGGAAGCGCACCGGAUACUGCGAGACUGGGGUCUUGAAGAGGAGAGCGGAAUUCCCGGUGUAGAGGUGAAAUUCGUAGAUAUCGGGAGGAACACCAGUGGCGAAAGCGGCUCUCUGGGCAAUGACCGACGCUGAGGCGCGAAGGCGUGGGAAGCAAACAGGAUUAGAAACCCUAGUAGUCC
rnacentral:rRNA from 1 species